AACGAACGCUGGCGGCAUGCCUAACACAUGCAAGUCGAACGAACCCUUCGGGGUUAGUGGCGCACGGGUGCGUAACGCGUGGGAAUCUGCCCUUGGCUUCGGAAUAACAGUUAGAAAUGACCGCUAAUACCGGAUGAUGUCGCAAGACCAAAGAUUUAUCGGCCAGGGAUGAGCCCGCGUAGGAUCAGGUAGUUGGUGGGGUAAAGGCCUACCAAGCCGACGAUCCUUAGCUGGUCUGAGAGGAUGAUCAGCCACACUGGGACUGAGACACGGCCCAGGCUCCUACGGGAGGCAGCAGUGGGGAAUAUUGGACAAUGGGGGCAACCCUGAUCCAGCAAUGCCGCGUGAGUGAUGAAGGCCUUAGGGUUGUAAAGCUCUUUUACCCGGGAUGAUAAUGACAGUACCGGGAGAAUAAGCUCCGGCUAACUCCGUGCCAGCCGCCGCCGUAAGAC
rnacentral:rRNA from 1 species